rnacentral:rRNA from 1 species
CAGCAGCCGCGGGAAUACGUAGGGCGCAAGCGUUGUCCGGAAUUAUUGGGCGUAAAGAGCUCGUAGGCGGUCUGUCGCGUCUGGUGUGAAAUCCCGAGGCUCAACCUCGGGCUUGCAUCGGGUACGGGCAGACUAGAGUGCGGUAGGGGAGACUGGAAUUCCUGGUGUAGCGGUGGAAUGCGCAGAUAUCAGGAGGAACACCGAUGGCGAAGGCAGGUCUCUGGGCCGCAACUGACGCUGAGGAGCGAAAGCAUGGGGAGCGAACAGGAUUAGAUACCCGAGUAGUCCCUGUCCUUAUACA